GUUGCUCUUGGGUGGCCGCGGCGCCCGCUCCCUCUGAAUUCGCCGGGCAGGGAUACAGCCGCCCGGGGCCUCUUGCUCGUGCUUGGUUUUCCGGACCUUGCUUCCUAAAGGGUCUUUAGGGGUUCCCGGACUCCUCCGCCUGGGAGCCUCUAUCCGCCUGGGAGCCUCUAUGCGCCCCGCAAAGCCCCCGGCAGAGCCGAGGGGAGGCUUCAUUGGCGACCUGGUGGGGCCUCGCGGCCCUGCUCCCUGACGUCAGCGCCGCCGCGGUGAUUUAACAGCUUUUGUUUUGGGCAGAAGAACCUAUGGGCACAAAAAGCAGGAACGAGUAGCGGUGGCUGAAGAACGAGCAGGAGCUUGAAUUUCAGUUUUCUUAUGAGGAAUUUUCCAGAAAAGAUAUCUUCACUGUGAAAUAACUAAAUAAAUGCCCACUCAGUACAGUCACUGUCUCCCUUUUGGAACUUGAUGGCACCUUAAGCCCAGGUUUGCCUCCACUCUAGAAACUCAUCAGAGUGAUGCCCUUCUCAAAUGGGGGAGGUCCCAAAGCGGAUAUCCUGGCAGUGUGAAAGGCCGGCUAAAGGUUUGUGCCAAGAGGAUCUGUGGAAUGCAUCUCCUACAGCUGGUGCUGCUGAGUAACCACUCUGAUCUGGCAUCUUCUUUGAUCAAGUUACAGAGCAGAGUUUCCAGGGCUGGGGAUUGAAGUCCUGCCUCCUCCCUUUGUCUCUGGUUGUCCUCGGUAAUGUUUUUCCCUCAAGACAAAAAUACCUGCUACAUGCUUCCUUCUGUAUGAAUACAUGAGACCUACCUUCAUUCAUGUUUCCUCUAUGAAGCUUUCCCUGCACUCCAAACACAGAGCUGAGACUUCCACCUAAUGUAGAAAGCUAGCACGAGCCGGCGCUGACAGAUGGAAGACUUGAGAUGUUACAAGAUUAUAUAUGGAAACACAAAAGGGUCUCACUCUGUCACCCAGGCUGGAGUGCAGUGCUGUGAUCCUAGCUCACUGCAGCUUUGAUCUUCUGGGCCCAAGCAAUCCUCCCACCUCAGCCUCCUGAGUAGCUGGGACUCAAAGUGUGCCACCACACCUGAUUUUCUUUUUGGUAGAGAUGGGGACUCACUAUGUUGCCCAGGCUGGUCUCAAACUUUUGGCCUCAAGGGAUCCUCCCACCUUGGCCUCCGAAAGAGUUGGGAUUAUAGGCAUGAGCCAACAUGCAUGGUCAAAUGCUUUUUAAACUAGUAAUUCACCUGUGUAUGGUUAUGUCAAAGAAAAAUACAAGGUUGCAUACGCUUAGAGAAAGUAAGGAAGUAACCCAUUACAUGUAUGUUUGUAAAUUUUACUUAGGCCAUCAUUUUUUAUUUUCACCUUUGAAUUUCAAAGUAAAUUAGAGAUAUGUAAAUAACAGAAUUAUCAACAUUAAAAUCUUAUUCACAAUGGCUAACAAGAACAGGAUGACAGUCAAGUCAGUAGCUUUUUAAUAAAAUGAGCAGAAUCCCAUCGUAACAGUUCUUUGUUACAUGAAUUCAAAUACACAGCAGACCAAUCAUGUUCCCUGAAAUUUAACAAUCAAUCAUACUUAAUAAAGGCCUGUUAGUGCUGUCCCUCAAGACUCUAAUUCUAAAGGGCUUCCUUUGAAUUCCCUUUAUAAAGCUUUGUGCAAAGAAGAGCUUAAGCACCAGUAAGAAAGACUGUCGCUAGCAUUUUUAUUUCAUCAUCAACAACAAACAUGCAGUUUCUUUCUCUGAUGUGCAUGGCACUGUAAAAUGGGUGCUACACUCUCUCUUGUGGUACAAAGUUUAUAAAUACAGUAUACUGAUACAAAGUUGAAGCCAUUAAAAAGAGCUUAAUAACAACUAUGAGGAGAUAAUUAAAUCUGGAGUGUUGAUGGAAUCUAUGAAGAGAUUUAGAAACAAGACAUAAACACUACGGUAAAAGUUUUACUUGGGAAGGGGCCAGAGGGGAACUUUUUAUGUGCUACUGAAAGAUUUUUUAAGUUGCUCCAGAUUUACUUUCUUUCUGCUAUUAUCUUUAAAUACUGCAAAGCAUUGUGAGCUGCAUCACUUUGUGCAUUGCCACAGGAGAUACCGGAGCCAUGACAGACUGUGAUGGGGCUGGUGGACAGUUCAGCAAGACAUUGAUAUUGUCCAUUGGCGCUCAGUUCAUCUGUAAUGACACAUUCAAGGAUGACGAUUAAUGUCCAAUAUGUAUAAAGUGGAUCCCUUUGUAAAAACAAUACAAUUCUUAUUAUUGUCUUUCUUUUUAAGCCUCCAUGGUAUACUACACCACUCGCAAUCUUUGUUUUGCUUGUACAAACAAAAAACCACAACUGCUCAGCUGUAGCAGUUUUCAAACACAUUACACUUCAUAAUGAUCUGACAGUGUUAAAGACAUACAGAUAUCUAGGCUGCACUCUAGCUCACUCAAUCAGAAAUAUACAGUUGGGGGUGGCUGAUUCCUACACUUAAAAAAAUAACAGCUCCCAAGGCAAUUCUAAUAUAGUUAGUUGAACACUAUUUGGAAAUUACUGAACCACACAGUAACUUUCUCAAAAGGGAAAGAACCAUUUGCUAGAGGACUGGAGAGAUUGUAUUUUCCACUAGGAAGUCAUUUUCAGGAGGCAUUUGAACCAGGAAUAACUUCGGUCAAGGCAAAACCUCCCUUGUGUCUUCUAUUAAAAAAAAAUGUUUAAUUGAUACAUAAUAAUUGUAUGUAUUUAUGCUGUUGUCCAUUCAUGUUCCUAGGUUUUAAGUCUGUGCAGAGUCUAGUUCUUUAUUUAUACUGUAAAUGGGUCAUGGUAUUUUAAAAACAAUACCUGACCCAGGAAACAAACGUUCUUCCCAUCAACUGAUGAGCCACUCUUACUAAAGAUGGCUGAAAUGAGGGCAAAGAGGAAGAAAUAGAAACGUGUGCGGUAUGAUUUAUUUGAAGUAGGC
rnacentral:lncRNA from 1 species